rnacentral:rRNA from 1 species
AUUCCUACGGGAGGCAGCAGUGAGGAAUAUUAGACAAUGGGCGCAAGCCUGAUCUAGCCAUGCCGCGUGAGUGAAGAAGGCCUUCGGGUUGUAAAGCUCUUUCAGAUGUGAGGAUAAUGACAGUAGCAUCAGAAGAAGCCCCGGCUAAAUUCGUGCCAGCAGCCGCGGUAAUACGAAUGGGGCAAGCGUUGUUCGGAAUCACUGGGCGUAAAGCGUACGUAGGCGGCUUUUCAAGUCAGGAGUGAAAUCCCAGGGCUCAACCCUGGGACUGCUCUUGAAACUGGAUCGCUAGAGUCCCGGAGAGGUUGGCGGAAUUCCGAGUGUAGAGGUGAAAUUCGCAGAUAUUCGGAGGAACACCAGUGGCGAAGGCGGCCAACUGGACGGGAACUGACGCUCAGGUACGAAAGCGUGGGGAGCAAACAGGAUUAGAUACCCUGGUAGUCCACGCCGUAAACGAUGUGUGCUAGUUGUUGGGCAUCAUAGAUGUUCAGUGACACAGCUAACGCGUUAAGCACACCGCCUGGGGAGUACGGUCGCAAGAUUAAAACUCAAAGGAAUUGACGGAAUCUC